rnacentral:rRNA from 1 species
AGCUAUACAUGCAAGUCGAACGAACUUCCGUUAAUUGAUUAUGACGUGCUUGCACUGAAUGAGAUUUUAACACGAAGUGAGUGGCGGACGGGUGAGUAACACGUGGGUAACCUGCCCAGAAGCAGGGGAUAACACCUGGAAACAGAUGCUAAUACCGUAUAACAGAGAAAACCGCCUGGUUUUCUUUUAAAAGAUGGCUCUGCUAUCACUUCUGGAUGGACCCGCGGCGCAUUAGCUGGUUGGUGAGGUAACGGCUCACCAAGGCGAUGAUGCGUAGCCGACCUGAGAGGGUAAUCGGCCACAUUGGGACUGAGACACGGCCCAGACUCCUACGGGAGGCAGCAGUAGGGAAUCUUCCACAAUGGACGCAAGUCUGAUGGAGCAACGCCGCGUGAGUGAAGAAGGGUUUCGGCUCGUAAAGCUCUGUUGUUAAAGAAGAACGUGGGUGAGAGUAACUGUUCACCCAGUGACGGUAUUUAACCAGAAAGCCACGGCUAACUACGUGCCAGCAGCCGCGGUAAUACGUAGGUGGCAAGCGUUAUCCGGAUUUAUUGGGCGUAAAGCGAGCGCAGGCGGUCUUUUAAGUCUAAUGUGAAAGCCUUCGGCUCAACCGAAGAAGUGCAUUGGAAACUGGGAGACUUGAGUGCAGAAGAGGACAGUGGAACUCCAUGUGUAGCGGUGAAAUGCGUAGAUAUAUGGAAGAACACCAGUGGCGAAGGCGGCUGUCUGGUCUGUAACUGACGCUGAGGCUCGAAAGCAUGGGUAGCGAACAGGAUUAGAUACCCUGGUAGUCCAUGCCGUAAACGAUGAUUACUAAGUGUUGGAGGGUUUCCGCCCUUCAGUGCUGCAGCUAACGCAUUAAGUAAUCCGCCUGGGAGAGUACGAACCGCAA